GAUGAACGCUGGCGGCGUGCCUAAUACAUGCAAGUCGAGCGAACAGACGAGGAGCUUGCUCCUCUGACGUUAGCGGCGGACGGGUGAGUAACACGUGGAUAACCUACCUAUAAGACUGGGAUAACUUCGGGAAGCCGGAGCUAAUACCGGAUAAUAUAUUGAACCGCAUGGUUCAAUAGUGAAAGACGGUUUUGCUGUCACUUAUAGAUAGAUCCGCGCCGCAUUAGCUAGUUGGUAAGGUAACGGCUUACCAAGGCGACGAUGCGUAGCCGACCUGAGAGGGUGAUCGGCCACACUGGAACUGAGACACGGUCCAGACUCCUACGGGAGGCAGCAGUAGGGAAUCUUCCGCAAUGGGCGAAAGCCUGACGGAGCAACGCCGCGUGAGUGAUGAAGGUCUUCGGAUCGUAAAACUCUGUUAUUAGGGAAGAACAAAUGUGUAAGUAACUAUGCACGUCUUGACGGUACCUAAUCAGAAAGCCACGGCUAACUACGUG
rnacentral:rRNA from 1 species